GUACACUCCUGCGGGAGGCAGCAGUGGGGAAUUUUGGACAAUGGGCGAAAGCCUGAUCCAGCAAUGCCGCGUGAGUGAAGAAGGCCUUCGGGUUGUAAAGCUCUUUUGUCAGGGAAGAAACGGUGAAAGCUAAUAUCUUUUGCUAAUGACGGUACCUGAAGAAUAAGCACCGGCUAACUACGUGCCAGCAGCCGCGGUAAUACGUAGGGUGCAAGCGUUAAUCGGAAUUACUGGGCGUAAAGCGUGCGCAGGCGGUUUUGUAAGUCUGAUGUGAAAUCCCCGGGCUCAACCUGGGAAUUGCAUUGGAGACUGCAAGGCUAGAAUCUGGCAGAGGGGGGUAGAAUUCCACGUGUAGCAGUGAAAUGCGUAGAUAUGUGGAGGAACACCGAUGGCGAAGGCAGCCCCCUGGGUCAAGAUUGACGCUCAUGCACGAAAGCGUGGGGAGCAAACAGGAUUAGAAACCCUGGUAGUCCC
rnacentral:rRNA from 1 species